CAUCUGUUGUACCUGUUCCUGUUGCCUUCCUUGCCUCUUGGAAUCGUGACAAGAGAGAAAAGUCGCCUCUGGUGGGUUGCUCAAAGCUGCGGGUCUGCAGCCCUGUGCAGGAAGUUGGCACCGAUCCCAGGCAGCGCAAAAGGCACCCCCAGAUUGCAGUGACGUCAUUUUCUCCUCUCUUCCAAGUUUCACAAAGUUGUGAACUUCCAAGCCUUCUAUAUGGAGAAAAAAUUAUUUUGAAAUAUUCUUGGGCAUCAUGGUUGCAGACAAAGUCUUUCCAGUAACAUAUGAUUCUCACCCAUUGGGAACUGCUCUAGAACUUUGUGAUGUUGGCCUGGCAAAGAGUUCCUUGCCCUGGAGUUUCCUGUUCAAACUAAACACAGUGGGGGUAUGGUCACAGUGAGUCUUUUACAAGAAGGAAUAGGAAGUCCACCCUGUGACUAGGAGAAUGCCCAGAGAGAAGAAUGAAAAUAGUGGGAAUCAGGAUCAAAUGAAAAAACCACUUUUCAUUGCAAAGCUGAACAACUGCUCCCUCUUUUCUUUGCAUACUGAAAAGAGACCCAUUAAGGCAGCGGUCCCACCCUUUCUGGCUCCGAGGACUGGCAGUGGUGGUGGUGGGAGAGGGGAUGGUUUUGUUCAUGUGCCCACUGAUUGCACAAAUGGAGCUCUACAUGCUCAUAAGCUUGUCCGCUUGCACCGCCUUGUUCCAAACAGGCCAUGGCCCGGUACUGUGCCAUGGACCAGGGGUUGAGGACCCCUGCAUUAAGGGACUCAAUAGCCUAUUCGAGUAAUUUGCUUCCCACUGCUGCUACUCCAAGGAAGGGUCUAGGAUGUAUGCUUGGCAAAAACCAGUCAGCCAUAUGGUGAUGUUUCCCUGACAUUCCAGCUUGAAGAGCAUGCCCUACCACAUCUUUCAGCUGUUCCUAUAAGACACUUUUCCAAGUUUCCAUGCUUAGCAAAUGCCCCAUCCAACAAGCUUGCCCAAUCUCAAAGUAUCUCCUGAUGGGAUAGACUGGAAACAAUUACCAGGCACUCAAGGAUCCAGAAAGUUUGUUAAAUAUCUUUUAUUUCAGUAGAUCUAAUAAGUCAUUAUGAAAAACAAUGAUUGUGGGGUUAUCAAAAGCAAAUCCCAUAUAGUAGACUCAAUGUUCACAUUUUCUACCUCUUUAUCCUGUGUCACCUACUGGUCCUAAAUUCUCCAUUUUGGGCAGGAAGUCUAAUUUCCAUCUGUUAGUUGUUUGGGUCAGAAUAUGACAUGACGAUGUUUUACUUUGACCUUGUAAGAAAAUAAAUUCUCACAACUGAUCAUGACAAAUUAUCAGAAUUUGGGAUCUCCAGAUUUAGACAGCAUCUUGUACUCUUGUCCAUAUCCUGUAUUCUGUACCUCAAAUUGAGCCUAUCAUAUAUAGCUUGAUCCAAAGGUGGGUUUCAGCAGGUUCUGACCACUUCUGGAGAACCGGUAGUGGAAAUUUUGAGUAGUUUGGAGAACUGGUAGUAAAAAUUCUGACAGGCCCCGCCCCCAUCUAUUCUCUGCCUCCCAAGUCUCAGCUGAUCGGGAGGAAAUGGGGAUUUUGCAGUCACCUUUUCCUGGAUUGGGGUGGGAAUGGACAUUUUAUAGUAUCCUUCCCUUGCCACGCCCCCCAAGCCACACCCACAGAACCGGUAGAAAAUUUUUUGAAACCCACCACUGAUUUGAUCAUUUAAAAAUACUGAGGUAAUGCUCAGUAUUGCGUAUAAUAACUAUUGUCAGAAAAGCCAAGAUAAAUGUUUUCUAUAUAAAGAAUAAGAUUUUUUUAAGGAAUAAGAAAUAACAGUAAGAAAUGCACCAAUAAUUUUUAAAGAUUUGCAUGGCUGGUGAGAGAAAGAAUAUUUGGGCCUCUUUCUCCACUUCACCUUCUUCACAUUGCUCCUUUUUUGUCUAGCAGAAUAAUCUGGUAUGUAUGAGAAAAAUGAAAGAAUUCUUGGCAUUAAAUUAAAUUAAAUAGUUUUACUAUUUUGAAUGAACAAUACAUAUAAUUUCAAACACUCAAUUACACUUACCUAAGAAUGUGAACCUUCAGUUUCCAUCACCUUCAUGCAGCUUAGCCAAUAAAUGAUAGUUCAGCUUCUAAUAGACUAGAGCAGGGGUGUCAAACUGGCGGCCCACAGGCCGGAUGAAUCACACAUAAGCCAUGCCCACCCCAGCUCCAUGAAUGGGAAAAACAUCAUGAAACAUCACCUUGCAAGUUUGACAUCCGUGGACUAGAGGCUUCUUUUCUGAUCUAGAUAAUAAUAGAGGCAGAAAAGUGUUCUCAUUUAUGCUGCUAUCUAUAGAUUUUAGAUAUUGUUUCUUACUUAAAAGGAUCCAUGCAUCUGCCUAUUAAUAUAAACAAACAGUAGGUAGGUUUGUGAUUGGGCCCAAUAUAUGGAGCAGUUUUAAAACAUGCGAGUUGUGACUGUGCCUAUCUAUUAAGAUAUUAAGAGAUAGUUUGGUGUAAUGGUUAAGGUUCCCUAUUGAGAAAACAGAGACUAUGACUUUUAGUCCCACUUUAGGCAUGAAAAACAGCUGGGUGGCUUUGAGCCAGUCACUCUCUCUCAGCCCCACAGAGUUGUUGUGGGGAAAAUAGGAGGAAGGAAUAUUAUUACUGUAUGUUGGUCACCUUGAGUUACAUAUAAAGUAAUAAAGGUGGGGAAAAAAUCUAAUAAAAUAAGUUCAUACUUCAAACUGUGUUUCUAAUUCUUGCUGUGCUUAAAACAGCCCAUCUCAGCUGUAUUACCUCAUUCCUAUUACAAUUUACAAUUUUUCAUUUUUUCCUCAUAAAACCCUGUAAUAUGGACUAUAUUAAUAGUCCAAAGUCACCAGUGAGAUCCAUGAUCAUAUAGAAACUUGAACUUGGAUCUCUAUAAUGAUUAUCUAACAUUUUAAUGACUACAAUUUUAUUUAGACCAGGUCAUUUCUAAUCGUUUUGUUUUGUUGAAAAACAUUGUGCGAUAUAGAAUGGUUGGCUCCAGAACAAGCCAUUUUUUUCCUCUGGAAUGGGAUGUCUGACAUAUUCUGGAUGUGGUUCACAUAUUUCCAGAAGUGCACUUAUCAUAAUAAGAAAUAAUUACCUUUUCAAUGAUUUUUUUUUGCUGUCUUGAAUAAUAUACAUCUGGAAAUGUAUGAACCAUUCCAGAAUGGACCAGCUCAUUCUAGAAAAAAAUGGAAUUCCUGAGCUAAAUAUGUUUUGUACAGAAGUAUUCUGUUUUGCUCUUAUCCUUAUAAUUUCUAUGAGAUCUUAAUUUGUUUUUAAAAAAUAUAUCUGCAACUCUCAAGUGAGGAGCAGGACAAACAUAAUUUGUCCUGCUCCUGACUGAGACAUGAUUUUAAUGCCUGCCACUUUCACUCUGAAUUCAGCAUUCAAGGAUUGAGCUGGAUUAUGGGCUUCCUAAUGUCACCUCCAAAUGAAACACCAAGAAAGGAGACUAGGGAUUAAUGGAUAGCAAAAUCCAGUCAUGCCCUUCGUGGGAAGCUUACUCCCCUCUCCCCCUCCUGUUGGGAUCUGUUGUCUUCUUGUCUACGUGCUGCCUGCUCUGGGACUGUACAACAGGAGCAAAGGAAAGCAAACAUUCCUAUCACUCUAGGCCAAGGGCGUGCUCCACGGCAUCAAUAAUGGAUCCUCUGUUUAGCAAGCAACACUGCAUCAUCUGCAGUCAUAUCCUACACUCUCUUAUCCUGACUGGAAAGCAUCUUCUCUGCACAGUAGGCUAUACUCUAACCCAGUACAGAGAAGCUACCUGAGCCUUAUACCUGGGAAAUUGUCACCUCCUUUAGAACGAAAUUUAGACAAUCAAGAUAGAUCUAAAACAUAUUUACUCCUAAACUAAUGGGUCAAAUAUUGUGAUUACUUAAAUGCUUGCCAACUACCCCAGAUCAGUAUCAAUGUUUGAUUUCACAAUUUUGAUAUUGACGCACCACUGACAUUUAGGGCCUGGACUAAAGUUUCUCUUUAGGUGUUCAACCAGUCUUGCUCUUUCCCAGAUACUCCAUUCUGUUUUUCACCCUCGAAGUUUCUUGAUUUCUCCACUCCUGGUCCAAUAGACUCUGUUUAGUGGCCAUUCAGCUUUACUCUAAAAUUCAGUGGCCCAAUUUCCUUCCUUUUGUGUGGGUAUGUUCUUUUUGUGGCAUUGGUUGUUAUUAAAGUUAUGUAUAUUUUGAAUUGCCUGACUCCAGCUGGCUUCUAUGAAAUUAUUUUUUGCUACAGAUUAGCUGUGUGUAUGAAUGGUGCAUUAUAGUAAUCUUAUGAUAAUGAAAGUCUAAAGUUUAAAAGCAUCCAAGGAUAUCAUUAAACUGCUGAAGCUUCAAAGGAAUGACAAAUACUCAAAAUUGUGAGAGAUUUAAUCUUAAAACUACUCAGCAUGAUUUUACAGGUAAGUACAUAUAGCCAAAUCCUGACUCACAAAAUCAGAGUUGAUUUUAAAUUGCAAAUCUGUAAAGAUGGGCUUAUCUUGCAAGCUUGUGAAGAUGGAUUUUACUUUCUGCAAUGCACUCCAUUAGUUUGCAACAAAAUUUUGUAUCUUUUUCUAACAAUGAGGGGAAAUGGUAGCAGCUAAACAGCUUUUAGAAUUAAUAUCUUAUUUUUUAAAAAAGAACAAACAAGCAAGCCGCUAUAUAAUGCAAGUAUGCCAGGAACCAUUGAGUUUUGAGACGAAAACACCUGCAUUGAAAACCUAACUUUGAAAUUUGAAAUUCUCAGAUUCAAAACUAAAUGAAAUUUUGUAAUAUGAACAAAUUUCAAACUUUUAUCUCAGCUUCUGCUUGAGUAUAAAGCUUCAAAAAUAUAAACCUUUCUAGGUCUGCUCUGACAUAGAUACUCAAGUGUUUCAAAUAAUUUAAUGAUUGUGCUGAUGAAUUUUGGCGGGUGGAGAUGAGCAACUAAACUCUUUUCUUCCAUCAUACAUAAUUUUCCAAUUUCAUCUUUAAGAAUUAAAGCCAUGGUUGCUUUAAACUUUUAUUUGGACUCUGUUUUUUGUUAAGAACACUGCUUGCAAAAUAUCAAAACGUACAUUGAGAAACUGAAAGAUUAAAACUUUUCAGUUACAAUUUUCUGGAAACAG